AACGAACGCUGGCGGCGCGUCUUAAGCAUGCAAGUCGAACGGCAAGAGAGGAGCUUGCUUCUCUCCUAGAGUGGCGGACUGGUGAGGAACACGUGGGUAAUCUACCCUUAAGAUGGGGAUAGCUGCUAGAAAUAGCAGGUAAUACCGAAUACACUCGGCAUAUCACAAGAGGUGUUGAGGAAAGGAAGCUACGGCUUCGCUUGAGGAUGAGCUUGCGUCCCAUUAGCUAGUUGGUGAGGUAAAGGCCCACCAGGGCGACGAUGGGUAUCCGGCCUGAGAGGGUGAACGGACACAUUGGGACUGAGAUACGGCCCAAACUCCUACGGGAGGCAGCAGCUAAGAAUAUUCCGCAAUGGACGGAAGUCUGACGGAGCGACGCCGCGUGGAUGAAGAAGGCUGAAAAGUUGUAAAAUCCUUUUGUUGAUGAAGAAUAAGGGUGAGAGGGAAUGCUCAUCUGAUGACGGUAAUCGACGAAUAAGCCCCGGCUAAUUACGUG
rnacentral:rRNA from 1 species